rnacentral:lncRNA from 1 species
UGUGAUAUUUUAUAUAUAAUAAUAUAUAAUAAAUGGUAAAUAGUAGAAUCAGAUACCAGCUAAAAUAAUGCUUAGGGGCUGCUUGGUUUGACGUAAAAUUACGGAAAAAAAAUUUUCGGUGGAAAAAAAAAUUUCGGAGGAAAAUAAAUUUUCGGAGGAAAAUAAAUUUUACACUCUUAGCGUUUGGUUUGUAGAAAAAAAAAAAGUUUUCCGUUACGGUUGUUUGGUUGAAAGAAAAAGAAAGGAAAAGAAGAAAAAAGUUAAUUN